rnacentral:rRNA from 1 species
UACGAAGGGGGCUAGCGUUGCUCGGAAUUACUGGGCGUAAAGCGCGUGUAGGCGGCCCUGCAAGUCGGAUGUGAAAGCCCUGGGCUUAACCUAGGAAGUGCAUUCGAAACUGCGGGGCUUGAGUUCUGGAGAGGAAGGCGGAAUUCUCGGUGUAGAGGUGAAAUUCGUAGAUAUCGAGAGGAACACCGGUGGCGAAGGCGGCCUUCUGGACAGUGACUGACGCUGAGACGCGAAAGCGUGGGGAGCGAACAGG